CCAAAUGUCAAUGACUGUCUGAGUCACUGGGGUGUAUGAAUGAGAGAACCUGACACAGCAAAUACAUUACUGAAGUUUCAUGCCUCAAUUUAGUGCUCUCCAUGACCUCAUCCAAGCUGCUGAUGAAGACAUUGAAUAGCACAGGUCCAAGGACCAAGCCUUGGGGGACCACACUGCGCACAUCUUUAUGUCACGGUGAACUCUAAACAUGCAGUUGGAAAUCUUGCAAGAAGGGUUAUCCAUGCAUUGCAGAAGAGGAAGAAAUGCUAACCUAGAAGCCUUUUUCUGACCAAGAGUGAAUCGGAUGAUUUUGCUUUGAGAUGAGUCCCUGGGUGACACACUGCACAAUGGGAAAGAAAAAGUGGAAGACAUGAGUGAGCAAAGAAGAAACAGUCAAAGAAAGCUCCUGAACUCAGCCAGUGGUUUUAGAAAGCCAAGGGGUUUUUUAUAUUCAUUUCACAAGAGCUUCAUUCCUAGGUAGAACUCCUCAGACUUGAUUCGUUUUCUAUAGUCUGUGUUUAGUUUCAUAUUCAGUAAUUAAGACAUAAAAGUAUGCUACAUUGAGCCUAUAUUUGUGAGAGCAAAAAUCAAACUUUAUCAUUAAUUUAUUUUUCAAACCGUUAUUAUAUGCAAUGAGGAACCUGUGUAAGCUAAUAAUGCUAAUAUACACUAUCUGUGAAUUUAUGCUACCCCUAUAGAAAUCUUCAAAUUAGAAGUUUGUUUUUGAUUGUUUCUAGAUCAUUACUUAGACCUUAAUCCACUUACCAGAAUAUGUUGCAAUCACCAACCCAAUGUUUAAUAUAUUCAGUGCUUCUCUGCCACAAAGAAAUGAUCAUUGAAAUGUAUUCUUGAUGUUCAACUUAAAUUUUUAUAUAGGAGAACUUUUGUAUAGAAACCUAUGAAAAUUUCAUAUGGCUGUAAAAAUACUGUCUGUAUAUAAUUAUAGAGAAAACACCACUUUGUUCAAUGCUUUGUUGAAUCUAUUAAAAGGCACGGUUUUUGCUGUAAGGCAAAAGACUAAAAGCUCUGACAACUGUCCCAGUUAACAAGAUUCAGGUUAAGGAUGUAUAUUAGGGUGUGCGAAACGGGCCAUAUUCGAUUCAGAUUCUACCUAAAUAGGGGACAGUGAUUCAAUUAGUUGAUUCAGAUCACUAUCCAAAUCUGAAGAUUCGAUACUGAUUCGGAGAA